CUCUCCUUUCUUUCUUUCUUUCUCCAUCCCUUUCUUCCUCACGCCGCCUCCCUUUCUUUCUCUCUCACUCUCAGAGUCUCAGCCCUCAGGCUCUCACAGACUCACUCUCAACUCAAACUCUCAUUUUCUCUCCUCACGCCUCCUCUCUCUCUCUCUCUCUCUCUCUUUUUCUCUUGCUCUGAUUUUGUUUUUCAUUUCCAAAAGGCACCCUAGGCCCUGCAAUCAGGCUCCCCCCAAUCCCUUUCGAAAGCAUCUAUUACAAGUUUACAACCUCGGCAAUUUCCAAGUCCGCAACGGCUUGAUCUACCUUCGCGUGGAAGGCAACGAAAGGGGAUUAUCAUGACACUUAAAGACACAUUUUUUUUCCCAUAUAAGGAUGCCUCAAGAAUCACACGGAUUGACUGAAGAUAAAAUGGAAGGUAAAGAUUAACCACCAUAGAGGAGAAGUGUUCACUUAAGAGUGCCGUUUCGCUCAACGUCAAUGCAUCAAUUCUUCAAAUUACUCAAACAAGUACGGUGGCAUUCAUUGCUCGAGACAAAGACUUCCGUCUUUGUAUUGUGGGAUGGUCUGGCCAACUCAACAAGAUAGCAGCUUUGUUGAAGCUAUUGGAGUUUGCAUCACCAUUAAAACUACGUUUAAGGAGUCUGGGACAAAACAGACAAUUACUAUGCAAACGGCCAACAAAAAUUUUGUGAGGCUCCUUUUAAAGGAACAAAAAAGAAUAGCGACGAAGAAUACCAAGACAACUGCAGACAAACCCAUUAUUGACAAGCUCGUUGAUUGAGUGAUGGAUACACUUAAAAAAACAUGAUCUAGGCUUGAGGUGACAUAUGUUCCUCACAUCCGGAACAUUGUAGUGGAUGAAUUGACAAACCCAGUAAGAAAAUUGACACAUGUAGUUACUGCCAAUAAUGUAACACUAGAGUACGAACCAUUCUGGGAUGGCUAGGAAAAAAAAUAAUUUGAUCAUGAUAUGGGUGAUUGGAUACACAUGUACAUGUAUUGGACAAAUAAGAUUUUAGAUACAUUGAAUGGGACGGUCCUAGAAGACAUGUUGGUUAGAGUUGUGGUGAAAGAAGGAAAACAACGCAAAACCGUUAAGGUAAUGACUGCGACGGUUAAUAAGACUGAACUCAGAAAAGAUAGCAGAGACCUAGUGACAGUUACCGUUUAUCCUUUGGAGAAGAAUGGGCCUUAUGAGGACAAUGUUGAGGAAGAGUGAGUUGAAGUCGCUAUUACAACAUUACGUGAAUGUAGUGUCACCACCAAGCCCUCAAAAUGUGUAUUAGUAGACAUGUGGACAAAAUAUGAGAAGCUUGUUUUGUCAGAGCCAAAGAUUGAAGUUCUUACGGAUUUAACUAUAGUGAAACCUUAUCAGGAGGUGGCAACACAUCGAGAGCAAUUCGAGGCUACCCGAUUAUCUAGCAUGGGUGGUCACAACAAACGUCAUCAUUGACUACAUACCUGUCGUUAAGUCUAUGCUCUAUUGUACAUCUUUUCUGAGUUGAGUUUUAUUAACCUUCGUAGUCAUUACCUUAACGGUUUUGCGUUGUUUUCCUUCUUUUACCUCAACUCUAACCAACAUGUCUUCUAGGAGCGUCCCCUUCAAUCCAUCCGAAAACUUAUUUGUCCAAUAUAUGUAGGUGUGUAUCCAAUCACUUAUAUUAGGAUCAAUUUUUUUUUCUAGCCAUCUCAUAAUGGUUUGUACUCUAGUGUUACAUUCUUGGCAGUAACUAUAGGUGUCAAUUUUCUUAUUAGGUUCGUCAAUUCAUCCGCUGCAAUGUUUCGGAUGUGAGGAACAUAUGUCAACUCAAGCCUAUCAUGUUUUUUAAAUGUAUCCACCCAAUCAAUGAGCUUGUCAGUGGGUUUGUCUGCAGUUGUCUUGGUCUUGUUUGUCGUUAUUCUUUUUUCUCCUUUAAAAUCAGCCCCACAAAAUUUUUGUUGUCCGUUUGCAUAGUAUUUGUUUGUUCUGUCGCGGACUCCUUAAGUGUAGUUUGAAUGGUGAUGCAAACUCCAAUAGCUUCAACAAUGCUGCUAUCUUGUUGAGUUGAUCAGGCCAUCCCACUAUACAAAGACUGAUAGUCUUUGUCUCGAGCAAUGAAUGCCACCGCACUUGUUUGAGUAAUUUGAAGAAUUGAUGCAUCGACUUUGAGUGUAACGACACCCUUAAGUGAACACUUCUCCUCUAUGGUGGUUAAUUCUUUACCUGUUUGUAAUAAUUGUAAUAAUUGUUAGAGAUGUUAGUAAAUGUUUUACCUUAUUGCUAGAAAUAUUCAAGCAAAAUAUGAUUUCGAUU